GUGAGGCGGAGCAAACACAAAACACAGUCUCAGUUCAGAUUGUAGGCUGAAACUCGCCUAUAUGAAGUCGGAAUUGCUAGUAAUCGCGGAUCAGCAUGCCGCGGUGAAUACGUUCCCGGGCCUUGUACACACCGCCCGUCACACCAUGAGAGUCGAUAACACCCGAAGCCUGUAGUCUAACAGCAAUGAGGACGCAGUCGAAGGUGGGAUUGAUAAUUAGGGUGAAGUCGUAACAAGGUAAC
rnacentral:rRNA from 1 species